rnacentral:ncRNA from 1 species
GUGGGAAGAGCCAAGGCUCUGACCACGUGCCUGUUGAAGAAUUAACAGACAACUCAUAAGAAGUGUCUUGGUUAAGGGAACACAUCAGAUCCAUAGUGAAAGCGAGUCUUCAUAGGGAAAUUGUCACAGCUUAUGGACCCGAACUUGGGUGAUCUAUCCAUGACCAGGAUGAAGCUUGGGUAAAACUAAGUGGAGGUCCAAAUUGACUGAUGUUGAAGAAUCAGUGGAUAAGUUGUUGUUUGAGGUGAAAUGCAGAUCAUUUUGGUAAAUUCGUAUGGUUUGUCUUACAUUCAUUUUACAUGU